CCCUUUGUGGUGCAAAUGGUUAACACAUUCAGCUGCUAACCAAAAGUUUGGAGGUUUGAGUCCAUCCAGAGGCA
rnacentral:tRNA from 1 species